UCGAUAUGCACGCGGCCGCCGCCGCCGCUCGCCCGCCGUUCGUCCCCAGUAACGGAAGCUUCUAGAAACCUCACCAGCCGCCGCGGAUGCGCACCUGCCUUCUCCCGGCGUCCCCCUUCCCAGCGCGCGUUACGGGCGCCAGCCUCCCACACCGCGACGCACUGCACUGGCCGUGAGAGACUGGCAGGCUUGGAACUUCGGAUCGCAUUGCGCUGCUGGGUGGUUGCUGAGUCCUGGAGUCGCCGCGGCGAGCGGAUUGUAACCAGCUUCUGUGCGUGUAUCAGUGAUCUCCUGGAGUUCUCCAGCAACUAAGCAUCAAACCGAGAGGCAGCAUGGAUGGUAUCUCUCUGCAGAGCUGAAGACAGGAAGGUUAGGAGGAAUAAAACAGUAUAUGAUACUCUUGAAAUAAAGCUCUUGCUUCUAUGCAUGUGAACACAUGUGAGCCGUACACAUUCAGGUAUAUCUACAUGCAUUUUAAUUAGCCAGAGUUUUCAUGUGUAUCUGAACAUGCAUGACCUUAAGCCAUUAGGAGUCCAGAGCCAGGACAUGCUAGUGACAUACUCCCUCUGUCCCAAAAUAAGUGUCUCAACUUUGUACUAACUUUAGUAUAAAGUUGUACUAAGCUUGAGACACUUAUUUUGGGACGGAGGGAGUAUCUAUAAGCAUGCUGUGAUUUGUUUUUUCAGCCUAUCCUGACCUACAGUCUAUAAGGUCCAUAUGUAUUACGUGGAACUGGCUCCUCUAACUUCGCUCCUAUGAAGUUAGGGAAACAGUACCCUAACUUAGUCUGCACGGUACAAACAAGUUCACAUGCUUCUUACUUCCAUUUCCGUUUCUUAUUCCAAUCCUUAUGUAAAGCCAGGCAGGAAUAUCAACAAUCACAGAAUGACAAAACAAAUCUUGAAAGGUAUUUGGAAGAGUACGUACAAAGUUCCUGGUACGGCAACUUCCCUGGACAACUAGGUUUGUCAUGUUACCAAUGAGGGAGGGACUCCAUAGUAGUGAAGUGAAAUUUUAGUCCCAAGGUAAAAAGAAUAUGCUUUGCUGCCUGCGUAAAGUCAUGAUAUAUGCUACUCCCUCCGAUCCGAAUUAAUUGAUGCAACCUCUAUACAUUGCAUCAUUUAAUUCGGAUCGGAGGGAGUACUGAUCUUGCCGUGAAGUAAUUGGAAGCAUUUUACUGGCCUCUGAAAUGAAAAACUGGAUAUAACAUUCUAGUUGAAGAUAAAGGAUUGUUACGAUUAAUUUCUCGCAAGGGUCCUGGGCUCAUUGGAAAAUUAAAAUCUUGUGCCGCCGCAAAGAUUAGUUUACACUAUGAGAAUAGGGGAUUCAAUAAUAUUCUUCUCUUUGGCUGCGUAGCUAACCAGAAAUGUUUCCAUUUGCUUUUAUUUUGUGAUGCUGUCAAAGUAACAACUGAAGUGAGCUUAAAUGCUGUUACAGCUCUUAGCAUCCUCUCCCAUGCUCUGCAUGUUGGCAGUUAUGUUGUAUACUUCUUCUGGUCAGUAGAUAGGUCUAUUCAAUAUGCCUGGGACCAUUUUUUUGGGCAAUAAUAAAGGCCAGUCACCACUAGUAUCAUUACUUUCUGAUCCUUGAGCAAUCUAAUCAUCUACCAGACAUUAAAUAUUUUUUCUCGUUGACCACAGGUAAAGAACCUUGUGUUAUUUGUGUCGCUUCCUAUUUCAUAUAUCCUCUUCUGACAAUCUAAAUAAUAAGAAUAUACUCCCUCUGUACACUAAUAUAAGACGUUUUAGAUCACUACUUUACUACUAGUUAAGUUGAAAUAAGCCUUAUACACAGUAAUACAUUAUCUCCAUGGUUGUAGAUGUUUCAUGCACCUUUCUUGCGACGCGUGGCUGUUACUGGAAACUUACAACCACUUGAAAUUGACCAUGUCUUGCUUAUUUGCCUUCGCGGGUUUACUGGGAGUAUCAAGAAAGAAAUAUCCUGCUUUCUGGAUCCUGUGAGCAAAUGUGCAAGUUGCGCGGCUUCAGCUUAUCCUGCCUCACAAAGUCACAAUCCACUGACUUCCAUCACGGGCUUCCUGGGAGCUUUGCAUCUUGGUGACAUCUGUGCCCGCAUCUGGAAAUGAUUUGGUUUUCCAUGCACAGAAGUGCAAAUUCGUGGAGAAUGGAGAUGACUCUGGGAUUUUCGGCCCAUUUUCGCAGAGUAGUGGCUUCCGCGUUGUUGACCAGCAGGGACCCCUAUGUGUAAGAAUUUUAUAAACCACUGACCGGUUGGAUUAGGUUUCAGCUUGUAGAUUUUGCAUGUGAUUUGAGUUUUGCCGUUUUGGAAAUGGAAACCGAUGUAACUGGUUAAUUGCAAGACUGGAUUUUCUCUUGAAAAGAAGUACUGAAUUGGGCAAAGACU